AGGAUGGCGACUUGGGUGGUUCGUGACUAGUGAUCCUUCUGGCACAUUCAGAAAACCUAAGGUUAUCGAGCGAAUCAAGAAGUAUUUUGAUAUAUUAGGUGGCCCUGCAACAUUCAUCCAGGCUGCAGUACCUCACAUCCUUGAGUCAACUGAUGAGGUUUUCUUCAAGAAAACAAUUAAUAUUCUGAAGCAAACCUCCGAAAUGUGUUGCAGAAAGAUCAAGGAAAUCCCUUGCCUUACAUGCACACACAGGCCAGAAGGAUCAAUGGCUAUGAUGGUAAGAUUGAACAUUGAUCUUCUUGAAGAUAUCGGUGAUGAUAUUGAUUUUUGCUUCAAGCUUGCCAAAGAGGAAUCACUCAUCAUUCUUCCAGGAACGGCAGUAGGGCUGAAGAACUGGAUCCGAAUUACUUUUGCAGUCGAUCCGUCGUUUCUCGAAGAAGCACUUGGGAGGCUUAAAUCGUUUUGUCAAAG
rnacentral:misc_RNA from 1 species